AACGUAGGACGCAAGCGUUAUCCGGAGUUACUGGGCGUAAAGCGCGGGCAGGCGGUUCUGCCAGUCUGAUGUGAAAUCUCCCCGCUCAACGGGGAGCAGCCAUUGGAAACUACAGAACUGGAGUCUGACAGAGGUAGGCGGAAUUCCGGGUGGAGUGGUGAAAUGCGUAGAGAUCCGGAGGAACACCAGAGGCGAAGGCGGCCCACUGGGUCAGUACUGACGCUGAGCCGCGAAAGCCAGGGGAGCGAACGGG
rnacentral:rRNA from 1 species